UGCCCAUGUAGUCUAUGUGGGUUUUCAGUCUGUCAGUGUCCCUAAGCAAAGGCACAGUCUUAAAUUGUGAAUGAACAUAAUUUCAUCAAUUUUAAUACUGCUCACCACAUUCUGAUGUAAAGAUCUGUUGUGGCUCUGUUGUGAUUGAUAGCUCGGAGGGCAGAACCAAAGUAUAAUCGAGAUCAACGAUUGGCUGAAAGUUACACAUCAGACUUGAAUUCACUCAGUGUGAAUUUGUAAACAGGAAUUUGGAUUCGCGCUCUGUUGGAAAUGUAGAAGAAGCUGUAUGAAGGGAAAAUAUAAAUCAUGCGUUGCGUGGUUCAGGGCUGUGAUAGUUAUACAAAAAGACAGCAAAUACAUUUUCCCAAACGAUCCUGAACUUUGCAAACAAUGGCUGCUUGCCAUUCGAUACCCUGGCUACAAUCCCUAUCGAUUUCGCAGAGUUACAGCCUUUACGUGUAUGUUGUGAACACUUUGUAAGAAAUGAUUAUCCGGAAUCGGCAAGCUACAAACCACAGCUCAAACCUGGUUCUGUCCCUACCAUCUUCCCAUGGUUCACCGAAGACACCGGGUCCGAUACUACCGACAAUGCGGCUACAGCGAGCUCAUCGUCUGCUGUACCACCGCAGGGCACAGCAGUGAUAUCACAUUUGAGAUAUCUAGACUCCCUACAAGUGAUGAGUCCUGCCCAGAUACGUCAUUUGUUGGUCCACUUUGGAAGAAUGACAAGUGGAUUGUUUAUGAAUCGAAACUUUUGGAGCUUUUAAAAAAAUGCAGAGAAUGUCAGGGGCCUGUUGAAACAAUGGUAAAGAAAAGACAAGGUGGGAUGCUCAAAAUAGAAUGGGUCUGUAUCAACAACAACUCAGGACACUGGACAUCCUGUCCAUCAAUCCGAGGUGUUCCAGAAAUCAACCUCCUCACCUCGCUUUGCUGUCCUGUUCACAAGACAUUCUUCAAACUGGACAGGGGAUUGAUGUCUGUGGAGAUGACAGAGGUGACUCACCAGGCCACAAUGCCAAAUACACCACAUACAGCAUGAUGGAAGACUCUACUAAGAGAGUGAUCCACUUUGAACUUGUGCAGAUCCUCUGAAGUUCUGAAUGCUUAUUAAUUUGGCUCUUCAGAUAAUGCAGAGUCAUCAGGGAGUAUACAGUAUUCAAGAAAGAUUUUGGAUGUGAAGAUGGGUAAGAAUUUUUUGUGGAUAUUUCCCGAUAGAAAUUCCCAUAUUCUUGGCAUCUGGUUUUAUAGCUGCCUAGAGAGCAUCCUAUUGUUAUUUAAAAAAUAAUUCAAAUACAAAUUACAUUUAGAAAUAUAUAAAGCACAGUUAUUCUAAGGAAUAUGUUCACAUAUUAGCAAUGCCCAUGAAUAAUCAGAAGUUAUGACAAAAUUUGAACUCAGGAAAGGCAUAUAUUCUCUAAACACUCUAUAUAUAAUGCUCUUGUUUGUUUUGUUAUUAAAAUCUGAAGUGAGACAUCUUUAGAUCCCUGUAAUAAAGUGUAUUUAUUGACUUCUGCUGAGCUGCUCAGACAGUCCUUUCCCAACUCAAUUUUACCUUCUACCCUGUGUAUUAUCUUUAGGCUUGGGUAUAAUUUCACUGCAACAGAGUACACUUCAACAAAUACCAGAGGAUAUUUUUGUCAGUAUGGUGGCUCAGAAUUUUAUACUCUGUUUGAUUUCUUUUAUUAUGCAUCUCCACCAAAGCUUUUGAUGGCAGUCUAUGAACUAGUAAACCAUUCCUGGCCUCUAAAGAUGUAAAACACUUACCUACUGCAGGAAAUACAAAUUUGCCAUCUGUCUCUAUCAAGUCACCCUGCUAUUUAUUUCUGCUGAUUGUGCUUCUGUUGUGUGUGGUGGUAGGUAUUUGUAAAUGAAAUAAACUGAUAUGUUCAAACUCAAAAGAACUCUAAACUGCGUCUGACAAGGGUGAUGCAAUUUUUUUCUAUGCUGGCACCUGCUAGUGCUAGUGUAUCUUUCUUAUUUCAUGACUGUCUUGCUGUGGUUCCAUGGAAACACAUUAGCAUCUUACAGAAAACAACUUGUUCCGUUUAAUUUGUUUAUUGAGUACUUAAUUUUCAUUCGCUGUCAGCAGUCCCCAAGGAAAGGCACUUACCCUUGCAAAAGCAGAUACUCAAGAGAUCGGAGCAAUACAAUAUAAGUAUACAGCAAAGGUAUUACUUCUGUAACAAGUCACAAAUUUGCCUUAAAUUCAUUGCAAGUGAUUUAAAAA